rnacentral:tRNA from 1 species
GCGCGGGUGGCGGAACUGGUAGACGCGCUGGAUUUAGGUUCCAGUGGGCAAUCCCCGUGUGGGUUCGAGUCCCACCCCGCGCACCA